CGCACAUUGCGCCCGCCAGCAUUCUGGCGGGCAUGCCUGUUCGAGCGUCAUUUCAACCCCUCAGGCCCUGGUGCCUGGCGUCGGGGCCCUCCCGCAAGGGAGGCCCCUAGAGACAGUGGCGGGCCCGCCGCGGCUCCGAGCGCAGUAGUAAAAUUCUCGCUCAGGGGUCCCGCGGAGGGCUAUCCGGCCGUAAAAGCAGGUCUGCGAAGACCGACCCAACCAAGGUUGACCUCGGAUCAGGUAGGAAUACCCGCUGAACUUAA
rnacentral:misc_RNA from 1 species